GCUGUUCGGAUAAUCACACACCUCUCCGUGGUGAGCAGCAGGCAACACUGAUAAGGCGGUUGAGAUGUGAGA
rnacentral:ribozyme from 1 species